AACGAACGCUGGCGGCAGGCUUAACACAUGCAAGUCGAGCGCCCCGCCAGGGGAGCGGCAGACGGGUGAGUAACGCGUGGGAACGUACCUUUUGGUUCGGAACAACUUCGGGAAACUGGAGCUAAUACCGGAUAAGCCCUAACGGGGUAAGAUUUAUCGCCGAAGGUUCGGGCCGCGUCUGAUUAGCUAGUUGGGGAGGUAACGGCUCCCCAAGGGGACGAUCAGUAGCUGGUCUGAGAGGAUGACCAGGGACACUGGGACUGAGACACAGCCGAGACUCCUACGGGAGGGAGCAGUGGGGAAUAUUGGACAAUGGGCGCAAGCAUGAUCCAGCCAUGCCGCGUGAGUGAUGAAGGCCUUAGGGUUGUAAAGCUCUUUUGUCCGGGAAGAUAAUGACUGUACCGGAAGAAUAAGCCCCGGCUAACUUCGUG
rnacentral:rRNA from 1 species